UUGCUCCAGCCUGCAGUUAUCCGUACUUGGGUUGAUCCGUAACACCAUACGCCGCCUUCAUUCGAAGAACGCGGAAAUCAGCAAGCAUGAUUAUGCAUUCUUUUCAAAAUAAUUCCUCUCCAAAUUAACUUCCGCGGAGUCUGAAUGAUUUACCAAAGAACCCAAAGACUGAUGAUUUACCAAAGAACCCAAAGACUGAACAGCUGAUGAGGAAAUCAGAGGGCUUCAUGAUAAUUGCCUCAACAUUCCGUCAUAUAUUGAUGACCUGAACCUCAGCAUACACAGAUUUCACUAUGGAUUGCUUUUCUUCUUUCUGCACUCCCUGCUCUCAAGUUUGAGCUUGACGACAUCACAAGCUGGGAGAGAAAACCAAUGCAUCUAUGACCAACAAUCCACUACUUCUAUUAAAUCUAAUGUGUUUUUGCUCUCUUGCACUCGUUUGCACAACAUGAUCAAUUUAGGUAUUGUGUUAUUCAUUGCUGCUACUUUAAACUUCAAAUUGUGCUUCAGUGCGUGUGCUCGUGCUGAAUAUGAGGUAAAUGGAGAAUGCUGCCCCAUGUGCGCACCAGGAAAUUAUGUUUAUUGGCAUUGUACUGUAGAUACAAGUACAACUUGUGUUCCAUGUCCUGGAUCAACUUACACUGAUGAACUCAAUGGGUUGCAUAAAUGCUUGCCUUGCUCUUUGUGUGACUCAGAACUAGGUCUGAGAAUAAAGAAAACUUGCACACGCUCUGCAGAUACUGUUUGUGAGCCACUGGAGGGAUCCUACUGCACUGAGCGAAUGAAAGACAGCUGUAGAUUGGCUGUAAAGCACUCUGAAUGUCAGCCUGGGCAAUAUGUCAAACAAAAAGGAACAUCAUUUACUAAUACUGUAUGUGAUAACUGCACGGUGGGCACUUACUCUAAUGGCUCUUUCACUGUCUGUCGACCACAUUCAAAGUAUAAAUUAUUACUCAGUACCAAUUCCAGAGAGUGAUGGUCAAUGUGAACCGACAUCACCAGACUCAGUGACCCUUCUUAUAUUCAACACUAGUAGCUCUGUACAUCAAUCAGCUGCCUGUUCUGUUUCAAGUGGAGACAUGCAAUGUGUGACCUGAUAUUGAAAGAAAUUUCAUCUUGGUCGUAAGGAAUCCAGAUGUGCUACCAAAAAACCUGAAGACUCCAUAAACAGCUGACGAGCAAAUCUUCUGUGGUGAAUGGUAAAUGGAAAACACUGCAUCGUCAUUAUAGUGAAAUGAUCAGCGCUUGGAUGUCUUAAAGCUUUAUCAAAGCAGCAUGGAAUGCCAUUAGGAUCUGUGAAGGUGAUGUUUGCAAAGUCUUCAGGAAGCAGAAGAAGAACACGGGGACAUUUUUUUGAUUCAGCCAGUUGCAUAAUGUCACGCCGAGAGUAAAAUCGUAUUAGCGCAGUUCAGUAGCUCCAUGCGUUCGUUACUGUCGCCUCUCAGUGCGACUGCUUUUUGCGCGUGUUCGAAACCCUUGCCAAACAAGCUUUUUUAUUUGAUUUCCGUACUUCUACGGGCCAUCCCAGCUAACACAGUUACGUCGUGACAACGUUACUGGACCGGACCAUAUUCGUCGCAGCGACGUACCAAAUAACGUUCCAGCGACGUAACUUUGUGAUUCCCAUAUUCGUCGUGGCGACGUUAUUUCUUACGUCGCUGGAACGUGGUGAGUACGUCUCAGCGACCAAACUGGCACGUUGUGAGGACGUGACUCCAAAGGACCAGACUGGUCGCAGCAACGUCCCAAAUAACGUACCAGCAAUGUAACUCUGUGAUUCCCAUAUUCGUCGUGGCGACGUUACAGUGUUACGUUGGUGGGACGUGACAAGUACGUCCUAACAACCAAACUACCAUAUUCCUUAUAUUUUAAAUUUUUACUUCUCACCUUUAGUCUGGUCCAGAGGAUGUGCUCGUACCACCUUUAAAUCGGUAUAUAAAUGACAAACUCAAACAUUUUCUGCUAUAAAAAAUAAAGCACUUAAUUCUAAUUUUUUUUAAUCGUUAUAGGAGAUUUUAGUGAAUAUAUUCAAUACAUACAUGCAAACCAUUACAAAAACAUUAUAUUCUAAACAUUAAAUGAGCAAAAACAGUGCAUUCAUUUAUUAAUCAGCAUUUAUUCAGUGUUAUUUCUGCAAACACUAUGCCAAUACAUUCUGAACAUUACACCUAUUCUUUAACCAUGCAAAGUGUUACCAAGUCAUGAGCACAGAUAAUUGAACACAUCAGUACAUAAAUCAUGUAAAUUUUACUGAAUUGUUUUAAUUUUACUGAAAAGUUUCUCAUUACUGAUGGGUAUAGUUAACGAUUUUAUCUGUAAAAAUGAUCAAUAAUUAUCAAUACUCAUUGACAACUCCCUAUAAUCUGGUACAAAAAAAGACAGAAUUCAGUAGUGACUUCUUUAAUACUUUAAGUUAAUUUGUUUCCUGAGUGUCCUGUGUAUGAAACACCUGCUACAAAUAUCUGAUGAUGAUGUGCUUCAAUACUGCUUUACUAUCAAAAGCAAAACCUAAACAAUAUUGUCAUUACCAAAGGACCAUAGUACCCGAGUACUCUGAUGUCAAACAUGUUCUUCCUCCUCUUUGCCAUCCUGAGCCUGUACUGCCAAUAUCGUUCUCUGGCACCUGAAAGGGAGGAUCACCCUGUUAAUGUUGCUAAUGUAUGUACACAAUCAGUCAAAAAUCUGCAGUCUUUGUGUUUCAAUGUUUUUUGAUAAAAGUCUAUUCAAGUCUAUUUAAUCAAACUUACAGUACAAAACUGUAAUAUUGUGAAAUAUUAAUUUUAACUUAAAAUGUUUUCUAUUGUUUUUCAAAUACACUUUAAAAUGUAUUUCAUUCCUGUGAGGCAAAGCUGAAUUUUUCAGUUGCCUUAACUCCAGUCUUCAGGGUCACAUGAUCACUCAUGAUGAAUUGAUGCUCAAGAAAGAUUUCUGAUUAUCAAUGUUGAAAACAGUUGUGCUACUAUAUAUUUCUGUGUAAAUUGUGGUUUUUCAGAAUUAUUUUAUGAAUACAAAAACAAACAAAACAAAACAAAAAAGCUUUUUUUUUAUUCUUUUGUAACAUUAUAAAUGUAUUUACUAUCACUUUUGAUCAAUUAAAUGCAUCCUUGCUAUUAAUGUCUUCCCAAAGAAAAGAAAAUCUUAGUGACUCCAACCUUUUGAACUGUAGUGUACACAAAAAAAUGUAGGCAGCACAACUGUUUUCAACAACACCAAUAAUAAUCAGAAAUGUUUCUUGAGCAGCAAAUCAGCAUAUUAAGAUGAUUUUGAACACUUACAGCUGGAGUAAUGAUGCUGAAAAUUCAGCUUUGAUCACAGAAAUGAUUAACAUUUUAAGAUUAAUUUCAAAGUUUGACCAACAGUAUACAUUACUACAUUUAAAUGAAAACACAUUUUGUAAAAAACAAUGAACACAUUCUCAAAGAAUUUACGUUCUGAUGAUUACUUCCCUCCCUCACAGCUGCCUUGUUCAGUGGUUCCCAGACUUCCUCAUUUUUCACAUUUCCUUUGAAUCUACACACACACACACACACACACACAAACAAACAAAAAAAAAAAAAAAAAAAAAAAAAAAAAAAAAAAACAGACAAUUUAAUAAGUCACCCCAGACUUUUUUUGAUGGUGGCCACAGACUGUCAAGGUGCCUUUUGAAAUCUUAAGUGGUUCUGCAGCUUCUAAAGUAAAGGCAGAAUCUAGGGCCUUAUUCACAGAGAAUUUUAUCUUACUACUAUGUGUCCUAGCUAGGAUAUUUAGUUUACAACCUAUUUACAAAAGAGUCUACAAUAUCUAAAAAGAGGGUUCAGUCAAUGCAUAGACCAGGGAUCCUCAAAUCUGGCCCAUGAGAUCCACUUUCCUGCAGAGUUUAGCUCUAACCCUAAUCAAACACAUCUGAGCAUGCCAAUCAAUGUCUUCAGGAUCAUGAGAAAAUCACAGGCAGGUGAGUUUGAUCAGGGUUGGAGCUAAACUCUGCAGUGGAUUGUCCUUUCUGGGUAAGAUUUGAGGAACCCUGGCAUAGACUUUCUUUUUUGUUAAAUUUCCACACUGUGCAUGGGUUGGAGCUCUUAAUACUGAAGGAUUGGACGAUCCUCAAAUGCAAACAGUGUGUGUUUUGCCUUAGAGCAACCAUACAUUUGUGUUGUGUUUUCCUUUCUUUUUAUUCUUCAUGUAUUCUUUAUUCAUUUAUAAUCAGUAAUCAUUUCAUCAUUUUAUUAUUCCAUUUAAUCAUAUAAUCAUUUAUAAUAAUCAUUAUAUCCAUUUAUAUAUCCAUUUUAUAGAUUCAUUAAUUGAUUAGUUAUUUAUAUUAUAUUAUAGUUGUUUUUUAUAUAUAUAUUUUCCUCUGUUGUUUAGUCUUAUGACUGUGUAGCUUCAAUGGCUGUUUUGUCUUCAUAAAUAAGAGAUACAAGGGAAUGUUUAUGGAAACUCAAGGUUAAUGGGAUGUUGUUGUGAACCAGUUUGGUAUAACAAUACUUGUUGAAUUUGUGUUCUCCAGACAAAGUCUGAGCAUUGAGACAUACGCAACUAAGACUAUUCAAUAAACUCUGCUCCUUUUUACCAUCAUACUUCGUCUUCUGCUUCUGCUCUUCACUUUCAUUGGCUUUUUCCUCAGUCAACUUCUUGGCUGAUAGAAGACUGUUAAUAGUGUUUUGGGUAUUUUGGGUACCAGACAAGACCUCAUGUUAACAGGGUUUGGGUAUUAG